rfam:Oryza sativa (indica cultivar-group) chromosome 4, whole genome shotgun sequence.
AAUAAGUGCAGUUUUGCACUAUUCACGUUCAACGUUUGACCAUCCAUCUUAUUUGAAAAAUUUGUGAAAAAAUUAAAAACAUUUAGUCACACAUAAAGUACUAUUCAUGUUUUAUCAUCUAAUAGCAAUAAAAAUACUAAUCAUAAAAAAUUUUUAAAUAAGACGGACGGUCAAACGUUGAACAUGAAUAGUGCAAAACUGCACUUAUU